GGGGGCGGGGUUUGUUUUCGUGGCCUCCCCCGCCGGUCCCGCAGCCCCGGCAGAGACCCCCCUAACUCUGGCUGCCCAGCGUGAGAACUCCUCCUCUACAACCACGCCCACAUCGGAGCAGCUGACGAGAAUGGAUGGCAGGAGAUCCACCAGGUGUGUGUGACACUGUCACUGUGUCACCCCACUGUCACCCUGUCACCCCAUUGUCACCCUGUCACCCCAUUGUCACUGUGUCACUGUGUCACCCUGUGACCCCAUCACCCCACCAUCCCCUCCCCCACUGUCACAUCGGCACCGCCCACGGGAACGGAUGGCAGGAGAUCCACCAGGUGACAGGGACAGUGACACUGUGUCACCCUGUCACCCUGUCACAUCAUCAUCCUGUCACUGUGUCACCCCACCAUCCCCUCCCCCCCGUCACAUCGGCACUGCCCACGGGAACAGAUGGCAGGAGAUCCACCAGGUGACAGGGACAGGGACACUCCUGCUGUCCCCACAUCCCCUGCUGUCCCCCUGUCCCUGCUGAUGUUCCCAUGUCCCCUGAUGUCCCCAGGCUGCCAGCCCAUAUCCCCUGCUGUCCCCAUGUCCCCUGCUGUCCCCACGUCCAUUGUCUCAGCAACUUGCACAACUGCAAGGUAUUUUCAGUCCCAGUCCCCGCUCCAGGUCACCCUCCAAAGUGCUGGAGAGCCCUUCAGACCCACCUGAGCCCACCCCCCGGGCUGCCCACCCCUGUGCAGGUGUAAGAGAUUGUUCCACCUCUGAACUCCUGCUUUUGCAUUGGCCGCUGCAAUGAACAAGUGGUGAUGAGCGCUCUGCCGAGGCGCGGGAGGUGUUAAUGGGACAAUUAGGCACCUUGGACAAGGCUUCUUCGAAACCCUUUCAAGUUGCACAAGCGGCAAUUAACCACUUCACGCUAACGAAGCUAUUUCCGCAGCUGAGGGUAAGUUUUGCAGGAGCCUCCCCGAGCCCAGAGACCGAACUAAAGGGCGGACACCGCCUUUGGCCUUGGCGGGGCUGCCUGCAUCCACCUGGGGGACGUUUUGGUCUGCUUGAGGAACCCCUGGAGAGUCUCCAACAGAAAGUUGGUACAUUUUCCCGCCUUGGCAGAGCCAGCCUGCCUGGAUACCAGCAGCUUAACCCACUAAAAACACCGUGCAAAGCUCUGCCCGGAGCCAAGCUGGCCGCUGAGCGCCCACCGGGGGGGAGUUUAAGGCAGUGCCCAGCGUUGCCCGAGGUCUGGUCCAGUGCAGGCGGUGUCGCCUGUUAUAAGUUAGUAUAAGAAUUUAGACAACUCAAUUCCAAAUAAACAUUGAUAAAUUUAUUAAGCAAGCGAUAAUAAAGCAAAACAGCGCUGGGUGGCCUGGAGGGCAGUGCCCCGCCAAGGCACACCCCGAAAUGAAGUCAGUAUCUCUUUUUAUACACGUUCGUGGUUGUUAAGUGCAUGUUAAGUGGUGUCUGGCAUUGGCUUUUCGGAUGUAAAUUUGUUUGUGGCUUGAGUUCGGUGGCUGGGUAAGUGGUCGUCUGGUAUUUGUCAGAGAUGAAAAGGUGCAGUUCUUAUCAGUUGUUUAUUGACACUUGCUUGAUUAGCAAGCUGUCUGUGAAACUCCUCUUGUUUAAUUACAACAAAAAGUUUCUGACUCCCUCAUACACAUAAGAUUUUAUGAACAAAGUUAACCCUUCUAUUACAUCGCCCAGGGUCCCGUGCUGGCUGCCGGCCCCACUGCUCGCUCUGUCCUGCUCGUGUCCCACCUGCCUGCGUCUCCCAGGAUCUCUCUUGGAUCUAGCCUGCUCACCCCCUGCUUCCCUCCAGCGACCCUUCCCUGUCUGCCUGAGGCUGGCUACACCCGCUUCUCUCACUGGUGCUGGUAACUUUUGCACUUUCCUCUUGUAGCCUUUCCUUUUCCUUAUCUCUCUUCUCUCCCCUCCUGCAUUUACCAUUACUUAUUGUUACAAAUAAAGCAAAUUGCUUGUUUGAGACCUAA